rnacentral:rRNA from 1 species
CCGUAUUCGCAAUGCGGUUUCCGCAAAGCAUGAUUCCGUUGACAUCCCCGCUUCCAACAUGAAGAAGGCCAUCGUGCAGAUUCUGGUGGACGAGGGCUAUGUAAAGAAUUAUACGGUCGUUGAGGACGGCAAGCAGGGCAUCAUCAAGGUCAAUUUGAAAUAUGGCGAGGGCAAGACCCCGGUCAUCAAGGGUCUGCGCCGGGUAUCCAAGCCGGGCCUUCGCAUUUAUUCCAGCGCUGAGGAGCUGCCGAAGGUCAUGAAAGGCCUGGGCGUCGCGAUCAUCUCCACGUCCAAGGGCGUCAUGACGGACCGUCAGGCCCGCAAGGAGAAUGUUGGCGGAGAGGUCCUCGCAUUUAUUUGGUAAUUAAGGGGGUGCAGAAAUGUCUCGAAUUGGAAGAAAACCCAUAAAUAUUCCCGCAGGCGUGACGGUCACCGUCGACGCAGGCGUUGUUACCGUCAAGGGGCCGAAGGGCACGCUGACACAGAACAUCCACCCCAAUAUGAAUGUUGCGGUGGAAGGCAAUGAGAUCCUCGUGACCCGUCCCAACGACGAAAAGGAAAACCGUUCCCUGCACGGGCUGACCCGUACCCUGGUACACAACAUGGUGGUCGGCGUUACAGAGGGCUAUAAGAAGACCCUGGCACGAAUGGCGUAACGAUUUGGGCGCUGUCUCAACCAUGGACCCGGUGAAAUUGUAUUAUUCGUGAAGAUGCGAAUUACCUGCGGAAGGACGGAAAGACCCCGUGAACCUUUACUGCAGCUUGACAUUGGUCGUUGGCUCGGCGCGUAGAGGAUAGGCAGGAGGCUUCGAAGCGGGGACGCCAGUUCCCGUGGAGCCGGCCUUGGAAUACUGCCCUCGUCGUGUCGGCGACCUAACCUGUGGCCGUGAUCCGGCACAGGGACCGUGUCAGGCGGGUAGUUUGACUGGGGCGGUCGCCUCCCAAAAUGUAACGGAGGCGCGCAAAGGUCCGCUCAGGACGGUCGGCAACCGUCCCGAGAGCGCAAGAGUGCAAGCGGGCUUGACUGCGAGAGAGACACCUCGAGCAGGGACGAAAGUCGGUUCUAGUGAUCCGGCGGCACAGAGUGGAAUGGCCGUCGCUCAACGGAUAAAAGGUACUCCGGGGAUAACAGGCUGAUCUUGCCCAAGAGUCCACAUCGACGGCAAGGUUUGGCACCUCGAUGUCGGCUCAUCGCAUCCUGGGGCUGGAGCAGGUCCCAAGGGUACGGCUGUUCGCCGUUUAAAGCGGUACGCGAGCUGGGUUCAGAACGUCGUGAGACAGUUCGGUCCCUAUCCUCCGCAGGCGCAAGAAGAUUGAGGAGAUCUGCCCCUAGUACGAGAGGACCGGGGUGGACGGACCUCUGGUGACGCGGUUGUCGACCAACGGCACCGCCGCCUAGCUACGUCCGGCACGGAUAACCGCUGAAGGCAUCUAAGUGGGAAGCCGCCUCCGAGAUGAGCUCCCUUUCCGGUAAGGGCCCAGAUAGACUAUCUGGUCGAUAGGGCGCAGCUGCAAGCAGGGCGACCUGCUCAGGCGAGCGCUACUAAUAGCCCGAGCUCUUCUUC